rnacentral:rRNA from 1 species
CACGUAGGCACCAAGCGUUAUCCGGAUUUAUUGGGCGUAAAGAGCUCGUAGGCGGUUCGGUAAGUCGGGUGUGAAAACUCUGGGCUCAACCCAGAGAGGCCACCCGAUACUGCUGUGACUAGAGUGCGGUAGGGGAGCGGGGAAUUCCUGGUGUAGCGGUGAAAUGCGUAGAUAUCUGGAGGAACACCGGUGGCGAAGGCGGCAUCCUGGACCGGCAUUGACGCUGAGGAGCGAAAGCCAGGGGAGCAAACGGG